GAGUUUGAUCCUGGCUCAGAUUGAACGCUGGCGGCAUGCCUUACACAUGCAAGUCGAACGGCAGCACGGGAGCUUGCUCCUGGUGGGCGAGUGGCGAACGGGUGAGUAAUGCAUCGGAACGUAUCCUGGAGUGGGGGAUAACGUAGCGAAAGUUACGCUAAUACCGCAUAUUCUGUGAGCAGGAAAGCGGGGGACCUUCGGGCCUCGCGCUCUUGGAGCGGCCGAUGUCGGAUUAGCUAGUUGGUGAGGUAAAGGCUCACCAAGGCGACGAUCCGUAGCAGGUCUGAGAGGAUGAUCUGCCACACUGGAACUGAGACACGGUCCAGACUCCUACGGGAGGCAGCACGUGGGGAAUUUUGGACAAUGGGGGCAACCCUGAUCCAGCCAUGCCGCGUGAGUGAAG
rnacentral:rRNA from 1 species